AAGAAAUUAAAAUAUUAAGCAUUAAUUCUGCUAUUGACUGUCUGUGCAAUAAGUUGUAUAGCAGCUUUUAACAGUUGUAGAAUAAAAGACUAAUGUCAUGCUAAAAAUGACAUUAGGAUAAAUCCCAAAUCACUUUCUCUGAAGUCUACGAGGUAUCAUCUGAUUGUCUGAUUGCCCCAGAUAUGGAUCCCAAAGAGAAAUGAGUUCCCAAGACAUGAAAAGUAACCCUAAUUCUAUAUGUCUUAAGAUCAGCCCCAAAACUCUACUUGCUAAGUGUGAAAAUCUUGGACUAGCUAUUUAAUCUGCAUCAUGGAAGUGACGACUGUGGUAUAUUAGCUUAAUUCCUUAACUGGUUAUCCAAACAAGUUUAAGCAGUAAGGACUACCAAAGCAUAAGUGCAGUCACCCAGUCAUCACAACAGGGCAGGCCAGUGCUGCUCUCUUCCUCAGCUCUCUCCUUGUGCGGGUAAUUAUGCUACUUGGAAUUUAGGUUGCUGCAGCUCAGUAGUGCCUAACAGCCAUGAAUUUUUAAAAGGGAGACUUGACUGCAACUCUGAGAUUAGCCCUGCAAUGUGAAAUUGUUCUUGAAAGAGUAGUGAAACCGUUUUAGUAUAGGCAGAAGCAAUGCUAACAGUGAAGGAAAAGAGAAACGUGGUAGCCUGAAACAGUGCUGCAAGAUGUAAAAAACUACAUUUGCUGAACUGUAAAUUGCUAAGCUAUACAAAAAGGUACAUAACAUAAUUUAUGCAUCUCACUGAUGAAUCCAUUUAUUAAUUUAUUCCCACUCUGGAUUUUCCAUGCAUUAUGCCAUCUGUCUGCCUGUCUCUCUCUCAGAGAAAAACCUCUCCACAACAAGAAAAGUCUUUUUUACUGAGGAUGAUGUAGAGUAGAGCAAAUUAUUAGCACCAAAGUAGUUGUUUCUGUACUGUAGGUAGAAAAAACACCACCACCAGAGUUAAUUAAGAUUGCAACCAUCUGUCUCUCCUUUUUAAACAACAUUCAUUGAAAUGAUUUACUGACUGACAACUCAGUGUAAGGUUUUUGGUGGCCUCCAGCACAGUCUGCUUAAAAAUUGGUAAGUGUAAGUGGUGGUGGAACCAAACCUUCUGACGGCCACCAAACAGCUACAAGGUAUGUCUGUUUCAGAGAGGGAGAAGAGUUGGGCUUUAAGCUGGUAAUUAAACAGAGCUAAAGCCCAUUAAUUAUUAUGAUUUAGGCACAUUGCUCCUUUAAAGCACAAGAACAGAAUUCUAUGCAGAAUUUAGGACUUGAACUAAAAUCUUUUAUGCUUGUUGCUAUCUUAUAAAGUGCACAAACUUUGGGGAAAAAAAGUAUGUCAGUAGAAAACAGUCUGAUAUUCACAUUUCAAAUUCCAAAAGAAAGACCAAGCCAUUUUUUAUGGACUGCCAAAUAGGAAUUACUAAAUAGAUUAUAAUAGUACAAUCACGUCUCAUUAACUUUGACACAGUCUCACAGAACCUAACAUUCUUGUCCAAGUUCUCAAAGUCAUUACACCAAACUCCUAGCUUGCAAGCAACUAGCCAUUGUGAUUACUAAGAUGAGUCUGCAGAUUUCCACCCUAAGGGAUCAAAGAUCAAACGAGAAAAAAACACAUUUUUUAACCCUCUCAUUUUUAAUCUUGUUUUUAAUCUUGUCAUUUUUAAGACAGUUUCUUUGUUCGGUAGAAGACCUGUGAAUGUCAAAGAGGUUACGACUACAGGAUGGAGUGCUAAUACCAAAGUGCUGGCACUCAAAUUUUAUUGACAUUUUGUCUCAGCAAGGAAUUUAGGAUUUGCUCCAAAGAAAAGCAAAUUGCACGCAGUAUUUGCUCAAAUGCUACUGCUGGUUUUCAGAAACUGGAGAUCCAGAGCUCUGCAUGUCGGGUUUUGUUUCUUUCUACCGCACUGAUGUCAGAAGGAAUAAGAGACAAUCUUCCUAGAUGAUGACUCAUGCUAACUUUCACCAAAACAUCCAGGCCAUUUCCUGUAGGUCAGUGAACCACAGAUGAGUGGUGUGCAACGGUACCAACAUCCUUUGAGUUGUGAUACAAUGAACGGGGGGUCAUGCCCAGAUAGAGCUUCUGAAUUCCACUUGAAUUAUUUAUAGUCUUAGUAGGAAUUUUGUCUGACACACAGUGCUUUGCUCUUUGUGGCAUCCAGCAUUACUGACAAAGGUUGCAGGACAUCAGCCUCCAAACUUUGGAAAACGGCACAUCUAAGUAGAAGGAGACACUGAAAGAGCCGGGAAAGAGUUGACUACAGCUUUCCAAUUUUGCAGAACAAAGGAAAUACUGAUCGGAUGCAACAUUAUGCCAAAGAAACAUGUACGGACAAAAUGAAGAAGACAGUAACAUCAGGUGCUAAUUCUGUACUCACUACUCAGCUCUGAAGAUGAAGCUAAACUAGCUUUUUGAAUUCAAGAAACCAAAAUUAAGCAAUCAUUACUGUAUUCCCAGACAAUUCCAGGAGUUUAUCAUCUUCCAGAAAAGCCCUCAAAGUUCUUGCAUUGUUGUUUGCACAGUAGCCACAGUAGUUGCACAAUAGUUUUCAGCAGGAGAGAUACAACAUACUGUUACCUGACAUACAUACAUGCUUCCAGCCUUGUGGUUAAAGCAUUUUCUUUAGUAGAUACAGCCUGAAGCUUCUGAGACUGAGGAAGGCUAAGAACCCAGUUCCUCCGCUUCCUUAGUGGUCUAACUGGGUUAUGACAUCAGAAGUCUCUCCUUUCCAUGAUCAAUUUGAAAUAAAAUGUCCAUGAAUAGUGUGCUCUGCUCUUGAUUCAGAGCUGCAGCUUGAUUCAGAGCUGCAGAUGAAUUUGAAUUUGAGAAAUGUUCCAUGCAGAUUCCCCACAGGAUGCCUGCAGCCCUGAGUAAAGCAUGGCCACCAGAAGGUCUGCGAUUGCUGUGCAGGGCUUUUCACCCUGGGCUGUUCUUGUGCAAUGGCUUGCACAUACUGGGAGCAGCAGAAGAGCAUAGUGGGGCUGUGUAGGUUGAUGGCUGAAGGAAGGGCAUAUGGAUCAGAUUUUGAGGACUUGGCUGUCUAAAUUUUAUAGAAAUUCACCUGAAUAGACUAAUGUGUUUUUCUAAGUCUCGUUCAUCAAUUCUUGGGUCCCUUACUGCCACAGAAAUGAAGGAGCCUCCCUUUUCUGUUAUCCCUGUAUAUCCACAGCCACAUCAUGAUUCUGUAGAGAAUAGCGGGUCAUUUUUACUUCUCGGAGAAAGUGCAGAUCAAGGAAAGUACCCUUAUCUAAAAUGUUACAUGUCUUUCUUCACUCAUGGUAUCACUUAUGGACAUCUUUCUAAGGGACUGGUUAUGCACACUGACGGAAGGACUACCUGUAUUUGAUAUAUGGUAAAAUUUCUUAGGAAAAAAACCAAAGACCUUCAAAAAACACCUUUUUUCUUUUAAUCUAACAGUAAGCCAGCUGACAAGGAGUUUGUUUAUAACAUUCAUCUUAAAAGAUACAUCACAAACAGUAAGCCUUUGUUCUCAGACUGGCCAGAUAAAGGGCAGUGAGAAUAUGCUGUUGUGAGAAUAUGUAUCACUGCUGUUAUCCUAUUAGAUCAAAUCUACUUACUGAAACAAAAAUAAGCCUCCACACUUUUUCCCUGGCUCUAUGCCAUCAUAAUAUAUGCAUUUGGGCUUGUAAAAAGCUGUGCAAUGUAAACAAACUGUUCAUGUGGGGCCCCUCUAGCCAAUUACAACCUAAAUUAAAAAAAGAAAAAAAUCAGAUGAUUAAUGAAUGUGCCCUUCCAACCUCUUCAGCCUCUCCCUUAAGCUGCUAGGAUGCUUAAUCCAAAUUCAGCAUUUUCCAACUUAAAGUCAGAAAGCGUGCUAUAAGGCAAGCGAGUACUGAGGCAGUUCCUUUCAUGGAUGGGGGACCUAAGGCAGUAAGGCAUUACGUGACCUGAAGAGCACAAGUGCCAAUAAAAACAGCCACAGGUUUGGGUAAUGAGAAGCUACAUAUUGGAUGUAAUUAUCUAGUUCCUGUUCAUCACUUAGAUUCAUUUUUAUAUGCCCUCAGAUCAUAUGAUGAGAUGCAGACAUGCACUCAUCAAAGACCAUGAUUCCUCUAUUCUUCUGUUAUUACAGCUCUUGUAAAACAAUGUGGUCUCCAGAAGGACAGGGAAACAAAUCUGAAUGUAUAGAUGAAAAGCAGGCUGGCGCUGCUCAGGAGGGAGACACUCAAAGCACGGCUGGGCACAGAGAAAGUGCUGUAGCCCCAGACUCCAGCCCCUGACACUGCUUUGAGUGUCUCCCUCCUGAGCAGCACCGGCCUGCUUCUCUGUGCUGGGCUGGGGACACCGCUUGGUCCAUCUGCCAGCCCCAGGCAGCCCUGGCUGCUCUCUCUCUGAUAGGGGAUGAUGAAGGCUGAGAGAGACUCAACUAGGCUUGAGAAGGGAAUCAACAAGGUUUCCAAUGCUCUUCCAGGCCAUAAGGAAAGGAACUUCUCAAGGCUUCCUUGAGGACAGUGACAGUUUUUUCCAACUCACUGCUACGGUUGUUUCUCAGUGGGGACACCUACUCAAAGCUGCAUAAACCAUCUGCAGUCAGGUGUUCUUGCCUCACACCCUGAAUCCAUGUUGGCUUCUUUCUCUUUGAAAAUUAAUAUGUGAUACCUACCUGGUCUAGACUAGAAGACGCUCUAGGGAAGACAAGUAGCUAUUGUUUUGGACUAUGUUUUUCACAAAGUGAAUUUAGCCCAGGGACAAAAGGGCCUUUUUUGUGCUUUCAUGGUAAUUAGAAGCAGCCAGGUUUAAAACUCUCACCUGAGAAAGAUCAAAGAGAUCAUAGGAAGUAACUAUCAAGAAUGACAGCUAAGUUGGAGGUUGCAUUUUUUAACUUAGGAGAGGCCAGCUCUCAGAGAUGUGACAGAAAAUCCUGAGGAAGGAGUGGAGAAAGGCAUUCAGAGUGUAACUCCUAGGGCCACAGGCAGAAUUUGGUACAGCCUUACCUACAAAGCUGACCUUUUAAUAAAGCUAAACAGCGCUGUCAUGCCAGUGAACUGGUGGUCAGGCAUAAAGCAGCAGUAAGGGUUGGUAGCUAAAGUCAGCAAACAUUACUCAAUGGCUGGCUGGAGUAGAAGUGGCACGAUGGUCACUCCAGCACUCCUGUGGACCCAGUCUGAGCAGAGUACUUAUUAAGGAAUUAUUAAAAGAGCAUGGGGACAGAUAACAAAGAAAUAUUUACUUUUGCAAGUAGGUUUUUGUCAUGGUUUUAUGAUUUUCGGUUAUUGGUACUCCACAUCAUAACAUCAUGUAGUGAAUGUACCUGGUUCUCAGAAGAGAAGGACUACUACA